UCGGUCAUCGAUGGGGAUGCGUUCCAUUAGCUUGUUGGCGGGGUAACGGCCCACCAAGGCAUCGAUGGAUAGGGGUUCUGAGAGGAAGGUCCCCCACAUUGGAACUGAGACACGGUCCAAACUCCUACGGGAGGCAGCAGUGAGGAAUAUUGGUCAAUGGGCGCUAGCCUGAACCAGCCAAGUAGCGUGAAGGAUGACUGCCCUAUGGGUUGUAAACUUCUUUUAUAUGGGAAUAAAGUGCAGUAUGUAUACUGCUUUGCAUGUACCUUAUGAAUAAGGAUCGGCUAACUCCGUGCCAGCAGCCGCGGUAAUACGGAGGAUCCGAGCGUUAUCCGGAUUUAUUGGGUUUAAAGGGAGCGUAGGCGGGUUGUUAAGUCAGUUGUGAAAGUUUGCGGCUCAACCGUAAAAUUGCAGUUGAUACUGGCAUCCUUGAGUACAGUAGAGGUAGGCGGAAUUCGUGGUGUAGCGGUGAAAUGCUUAGAUAUCACGAAGAACUCCGAUUGCGAAGGCAGCCUGCUGGACUGUAACUGACGCUGAUGCUCGAAAGUGUGGGUAUCAAACAGGAUUAGAUACCCUGGUAGUCCACACAGUAAACGAUGAAUACUCGCUGUUUGCGAUAUACAGUAA
rnacentral:rRNA from 1 species